rnacentral:rRNA from 1 species
GACGAACGCUGGCGGCGUGCCUAAUACAUGCAAGUUGAACGCAACAAAGACACCAGAGCUUGCUCUACCGUUUUUGUUGAGUAGCGAACGGGUGAGUAACGCGUGGGUAACCUGCCUUAUAGCGGGGGAUAACUAUUGGAAACGAUAGCUAAUACCGCAUAACAAUAGAGAUUGCAUAAAUCUUUAUUUGAAAGUGCCAACUGGUACACUAUGAGAUGGACCCGCGUUGUAUUAGCUAGUUGGUAGUGUAAUGGACUACCAAGGCGAUGAUACAUAGCGACCUGAGAGGGUGAUCGGCCACAUUGGGACUGAGACACGGCCCAAAA